rnacentral:tRNA from 1 species
GCGGGGAUAGCUCAGUUGGGAGAGCGUCAGACUGAAGGAAAAACUUCGGUUUAGUCUAUCUGAAGGUCCUCGGUUCAAUCCCGAGUCACCGCA